rnacentral:rRNA from 1 species
AACGUAGGGGGCAAGCGUUGCCCGGAUUCACUGGGCGUAAAGCGGGUGUAGGCGGUCCGUUAAGUCGGGUGUGAAAUCUCCGAGCUCAACUCGGAAACUGCACCCGAUACUGGCGGACUUGAGGACGGUAGAGGUCGGUGGAAUAACAGGUGUACCGGUGAAAUGGACAGAUAUCUGUUAGAACACCAGUGGCGAAGGCGGCCGACUGGGCCGGUCCUGACGCUGAGACCCGAAAGCCAGGGGAGCGAACCGG